CAGAAAUUGGUUACAACAAGGCAUUGCCAACAAAUAUGUGCAGUCGUGCAGUUGUGUUGAUGAUACCUCCAGCAGGUAUCUACUGAGUUGGGGUAAAGUUUGUGUAGCCUUGCAGGGGUGUAGAUCCAUCGUGAUAAUUUUUAAUUGCUCUCUUGCAUGGCAAGGUUAUACUAAGAUCUAUAGGAAAAUAUUUUUCCAGUUCUCGGAAGUAAGAGAAAUUCGUAGCUCCUGAGUCCAUU